rnacentral:rRNA from 1 species
AUUCCGGAAAAAAGCUAUCUAACAGCAAGCUAUAUAUAAUUUAUUUAGUGCGUGAAAAGCCGCACAUAUAGAAAAAAGACGAGAAGACCCUAGAAAUUUUUUUAAAAGUUUUUGUAAAUUCUAUUUUGUUGGGGCGACAUAGUAACACUUAACCUACUAUAUUAACAUGCUACUUAUAAGACGUAAGAUAAAAUUACUCUAGGGAUAACAGCAUAAUUUAUUAUUAAGUUUGUGACCUCGAUGUUGGACUAGGAAAUAUUUUAU